ensembl:lncRNA
AUGAUGCACAGUAGAGUGACUGAAGCCCCUGAUACUUCCAGUUUCGGAAGUCAGUUUGACCAAGGAGUUCAAAUAAAAGACCAGCCCGAGAUGGACAUGCUGUUCCUGCAAGGUGAGAUAAUUUAUUUAGUUUUUAGUUCACCUCCCAUUCAUUUGUUUUUUCUGCAGAUCUGUGUGGUAGUGGUCUUUAAUCAAACGUAAGUUCACUUUGAGUUUUAUGAUGCUUUUAAUGUUUAAGUGUUAAUUUUAGGUUUAACUAUGUUGUAUUAUGUUUGAAAAAGUUACGAUGCAUAAUACCUGUUUUUUUUUUUUUUUUUCAAUUUGGGAUUCAGACUUGAUGGAUGACCAAGCAUCUUCAGACAGAAAACAGACAGAUGUUCACUCCCACAGCGCUCCACAUGUGGCAAAGUGCUUUUGGCACUUGUGGAAGUGAAUCUUCUGGUCUUAAAAGAGGAGGAUCCUUCAUCCCAAAUUAAAAUUCUGAAUGGCUUACUGAAAGGUAUACAUCACAUUACUGAUAUGUCUAAACUAAGCACAGGAGCAAAAACAUUAAGUGCUGUGCCUUUGAAAAUGAGAAAACAUGCUUUAUCGAUUUCAGUGAGAAUGACCCAUUCAAGGUAGAACAACUACAUACUGUUUUACUUUAUCUGCAUAGUGCAUAAUUACUAAUAAUAUCCCCUCCUUCCACAUGUACAUACUCUAAUAUACUGUUUUAAUUCACAGUCACUGACAAAAACCCAACAUACAUGUAAAGAAGUGCACAUUGACUUCCCUGAAAUGGCAAAAGAGGAGGAAUCUGCUCCAAAUGACUUUUAUGUGUUUAAAGGCCAAAAUAAACCGACAGUAAUUCAUAUUCCUCUUUUCA